GAGAAACAACUUUUGUUACUUUGUUUAAGCAAGCUGUUGGUCGGAAGCCCCAGCCCAUGGCGAAAGCACUUCUCUACGUACCUGGUGAAUUUUACAAGGAAUAUAAAAGCAUAAAACGUUACUCCUUACUGAAUGCAGAGGGGAGUUUUAACCUCACUAUUUCUAACGUGGAGCCGUCAGAUUCUGCAGUGUAUUAUUGUGCUGCUGUGUUUCUUCAUGAGGUCACCUUCGGGAAUGGAACCUUUGUCAUAAUCACAGGUAAAGACUCCAACAGCAGGACUGUGGUACAGCAGCCUGUGUCUGACACAUUGCAGCCAGGAGACUCUGUGAGCCUGCAGUGUACGAUAGAGACUGGGAGCUGUGCAGGAGAACACAGUGUUUACUGGUUCAGACAUGGAUCAGGAGAAUCCCUUCCUGGAGUCAUUUACAGCCAUGGAAACAGCAGUGAUGAGUGUGAGAAGAGCCCUGAGGCUGGAUCUCCUACACGGAGCUGCGUCUACAGCCUCCCCAAGGGGAACCUCAGCCUCUCCGAUGCUGGGACUUACUACUGCGCUGUGGCCAUGUGUGGGGAGAUGCUGUUUGGGAACGGCACAUAGCUGGAUAUAGAUGGUAACACCCAGUGUGGGGAGAUGCUGUUUGGGAACGGCACACAGCUGGAUAUAGAUGGUAGCACCCAGUGUGGAGAGUAUAUCUGCUUCAAAGUUUUAUUUAGCUUAUUCUGCUAUUAAGACAUUUAUUUCUUUUUUUAAUGUAAUGAAUUUUCUAAUUUAAGUGCUUAAAUUAAAUUACACAGAUGUUAAUUUAAUAAUUAUCCAUCCAUCCAUCCAUUUUCCAAACCGCUUAUCCUAUUGGGUCGCGGGGGGUCCGGAGCCUAAUUUAAUAAUUAUUUCAAAUAUUAAUAUCCAUCCAUCCAUCCAUUUUCCAAACCGCUUAUCCUAUUGGGUCGCGGGGGGUCCGGAGCCUAAUUUAAUAAUUAUUUCAAAUAUUAAUAUAAAUUGUUAAAAUGCAAAAUACUAGAAGUUCAUGUUAAAAAUGGACUAUUUACAAAACAACUGCUGUAAUGUGUUAUCGAUUUGAUCUUUAACUAAUGUAAUGUAAGCAAAUGGGAAAUGUGUCUCUAUAUCAUUAUGCUGAAAUCUAUCUCUUUGUUACAGGCUUUCAGAAGCUGCUGGAUCCUCUUCACUCUGGCUUGCUGAUAGUUUUAUCUUGCAGCAUUAUUCUGAACGUUGCUCUCAUUUGUAUAAGAUGUAAACUGACCUGUACACACUGUGCAGAUGAAAAGAACAGUGAUAUAUCAAAAGUGGAAUGGUCACGCAAGCAA